rnacentral:rRNA from 1 species
CAGCAGCAGCCGCGGUAAUACGAAGGGGGCUAGCGUUGUUCGGAUUUACUGGGCGUAAAGCGCACGUAGGCGGACUUUUAAGUCAGGGGUGAAAUCCCGGGGCUCAACCCCGGAACUGCCUUUGAUACUGGGAGUCUUGAGUUCGAGAGAGGUGAGUGGAAUUGCGAGUGUAGAGGUGAAAUUCGUAGAUAUCAGGAGGAACACCUGUGGCGAAAGCGGCUCACUGGACCAUAACUGACGCUGAGGCACGAAAGCUAGGGGAGCAAACAGGAUUAGAUACCCCUGUAGUCCCUGUCUCUUAUAC